rnacentral:rRNA from 1 species
AGAAUCAACGCUGGCGGCGUGCCUCAGACAUGCAAGUCGAACGCGAAAGUCCCCUUCGGGGGCAAGUAGAGUGGCGCACGGGUGAGUAACACGUAGGUAAUCUACCUUUGGAUGGGGAAUAACAACCGGAAACGGUUGCUAAUACCGCAUAAUGCAGCGGCACCUAAUGGUGACAGUUGUUAAAGCGGGGGAUCGAAAGACCUCGCGUCUGAAGAGGAGCCUGCGGCGGAUUAGCUAGUUGGUAGGGUAACGGCCUACCAAGGCUACGAUCCGUA